UAAGGCAAGUGGAUGGUCGCUGGUUUUAACUUGGCAACAGGUUUGAAAAUUAGAGGAAAGUCCGGACUCUUGCGAGGAAAAAUAUCAGUUAAUGGCUGACCAGAAUUUUGAAUAAAAUAGAAAUUCUGAGGGAAAGUGUCACAGAAAAUAUACCGCUCCGCUUACGCUUACGCUACAGCGCGACAGGCCAACUUAAACGAAGCUUGCUGCGCUGUAGCGAAGCGAAAGCGAGUAAGGUCGAAACCGCGAGGUAAGAGCUCACGCGCUUGCAUGGUAACAUGCAUUUGGAUAAACCCUAUUUAGAGCAAGACCAAAUAGGAGUGGCAAGUUUCUUCAAUGAAACAGAUGUCCUCGCCAUCGUCACUCGGGUAGGUUGCUUGAGGUUAGCGGCGACGCUAAUCCUAGAUGAAUGACUGUCGUCCGCUUACGCGAAAGCUACAGCGCGAUACAAAAUCCGGCUUAUAGCUUGCCUUACUUA
rnacentral:RNase_P_RNA from 1 species